AUUGCCUGCGGAGAUGGCGUUCUCCAUUAACUGCCCGCCAGGGCUGAUGACGCCUACUUCAAU
rnacentral:ncRNA from 2 species